CUCUCACGGCUACACUCACCCCUUCUAGGAUGGAGUCUGUGCUUCCCGACUCUGAGCCAAUGGAACCCUCCUUUCUUAAAAUGCUUCUGUGACAGAAUGGGAAACACGACCAGUGCAGUCACUGCUUCCUUCUGCCUUUUGCAGUCUCCUCCCGCCUGGUUCCCUCACAGCCUUCGCAGUCCAAUGUGUCUAUAAGAAAACAGGCUAAAGAUGUCACCUUAAUUCUCCUUUGACUUGUCUCUGGAAAGAGCCUUUUGCUACAUCAGCCCAGAUAGAAGAGUGAAAGAGGAAAAAGAGAAGAGAAGACAGUAGAUGGCCUAGGCAAGGGAUAACUGAAGUUCUCCUUGUAACACAAGCUACUUCCCAAGUUCCUGGAGUCAUUGUGUCCACGGACCCAGACACCCAUCGCCGAUCGAGAGUAUUCCACGCAGGGGAUCGAGUUCCAGCAAGCAGAAGGAUCUUCAGUCACAGAGCACAUUGGGGAACUUACCUGACAUGCUGGACAGAACUAAGAGGUUAGUGAGAAACAAGUGUGUGUGAAUACCAUCCUAUGUCGCCAUCUUCUGGGCAA
rnacentral:lncRNA from 1 species